rnacentral:rRNA from 1 species
GAUGAACGCUGGCGGCGUGCUUAACACAUGCAAGUCGAACGAAGCAUUUGCGACAGAUUUUUUCGGAAUGAAGUUGCUUAUGACUGAGUGGCGGACGGGUGAGUAACGCGUGGGUAACCUGCCUUGUACUGGGGGAUAGCAGCUGGAAACGGCUGGUAAUACCGCAUAAGCGCACAAUGUUGCAUGACAUGGUGUGAAAAACUCCGGUGGUAUAAGAUGGACCCGCGUCUGAUUAGCUAGUUGGUGAGAUAACAGCCCACCAAGGCGACGAUCAGUAGCCGACCUGAGAGGGUGACCGGUCACAUUGGGACUGAGACACGGCCCAGACUCCUACGGGAGGCAGCAGUGGGGAAUAUUGCACAAUGGAGGAAACUCUGAUGCAGCGACGCCGCGUGAGUGAAGAAGUAAUUCGUUAUGUAAAGCUCUAUCAGCAGGGAAGAUAGUGACGGUACCUGACUAAGAAGCUCCGGCUAAAUACGUG